rnacentral:misc_RNA from 1 species
UCCCGUUUGACACGGGCAGUCCCUUUAGAGUGCCCAACUUAAUGAUGGCAACUAAAGGCAAGGGUUGCGCUCGUUGCGGGACUUAACCCAACAUCUCACGACACGAGCUGACGACAGCCGUGCAGCACCUGAACCAGAGGUCCCCGAAGGGAAGGCCCUAUUUCUAGGGAUGUCCUCUUUUGUCUAGCCCGGGUAAGGUUCUUCGCGUUGCUUCGAAUUAAACCACAUGCUCCACCGCUUGUGCGGGCCCCCGUCAAUUCAUUUGAGUUUCAACCUUGCGGCCGUACCCCCCAGGCGGAGGACUUAGCGCGUUAGCUACGACACUGAAAGGCUUACCCCUCCAACGUCUAGUCCUCAUCGUUUAUGGCGUGGACUAC